AUUUUCUUAUAUGUACAAGUAAAUAUUGUAAAUGUCAUUGGGGAUACAAGGCGGGAACACAAACAUAACAGUUAACAUAUUAAUAUAACCGGUUCAUUAGAUUGUGCAACUGGAUAACUUUAAAAUGUGUCAAAAUAUGGUUCCAGAACAGACGAGCGCGCGAGCGGCGCAGCGGUCACAAAAAGGAGAGCAGUGCAGAGAGUGACAGAGACGCCGCGGUUCCUACGUCCGGUACUCUCGCUCUGGUCCCCGGCUGUCGAGCGGGAAAUUCCGCUGCGUACGGAGGAAUGGGAGAGAUGUUUCCACAUAGGCACUCGGCGUUCAACACUUGAAGUAGAAUGUUAAAAAUGCUGUUGUAGUUUUUCGUCAAGACGGACUUUUUAAAUAGAAAAAAUAA